UACGGAGGGUGCGAGCGUUGUCCGGAAUCACUGGGCGUAAAGGGCGCGUAGGCGGCGCGGAUAGUCGGCGGUGAAAGCCCGGAGCUCAACUCCAGGUCGGCCGUCGAUACUUCCGGGCUUGAGCACUGUAGAGGCAGAUGGAAUUCCGGGUGUAGCGGUGGAAUGCGUAGAGAUCCGGAAGAACACCGGUGGCGAAGGCGGCUACCUGGACCAGCACUGACACUGAGGCACGAAAGCGUGGGGAGCAAACAGG
rnacentral:rRNA from 1 species